rnacentral:lncRNA from 1 species
CUGGAGAUGAAUGAAGUCUUGGUUCUUCGCAAGGUAGUGAGUUGGAACCAAGAGGCCUACAGAAACGGAGAGCUUGCAAAAGACUACCCCUACUGAAAGAAAGGACUAGAAAUAAAUCCGGCCCAGCGACAGGAGACAACAAGGAGGCAGGUGCGUCUUGCUCCUUCUGCCAUUGCUCCAGGACCAGGCAUCCCAAAACUCUCUGUUCUCCACCAUUAGACAAUCAAUGGCCUUGUCUUGCCUCUUACGCAGGAAACCAAAACCAAAAUAUAAUAUUAUUUAUCUGCUAUUACUGCUCCACACUCCUCCAGGAUGUAUCUCUAAUUAUAAUCAGAAUGACUUCCUCACAGCCAACUGAGCAGACUCUUCCUACACUAGAAACGCUCUGAGAUCACGCCACCCAGAGAAGUCCCGAAAACAUUUUCCACGUCAAACGCUUUGUUUUAAGCUGUGUUUAUAGGAACCAAGAGGGAACGUUACCAGAUGGCCAAACUGCACAACCGGUCCAAACUAAGAUGGUGAUGGGGUGCCGUGGACCAGAGGAAACAUAUGCAAAACGUGCCGUGCGCCAGAAAGAAAGAUCUGCGCAUUCCCCAAAUGCCCCUGCCCCGAGCGAUGACGCGGAGAGCCCUCCCCCUUCACGUCUCAUAAGAAUCCUGCUCACCUUCAGUUGAGGGGAGGAGGUGUUUUAGAGCAUGAGCUCCGCCUCCUCUGUUCCUUGACGGAUGAAUAAUGUUUCUGCUGUGCUAUUCCGACCUAGUCUUGUUCUAUUGGCGGCAGCGGAUCUGGACAAAAGGACCCACUUGCGGGUCACCGGUCCUUUAGGGCUGGGUACAGAGAACAUGAGUAUCUGUUCAGUGUCACAGCUCCAAUUUCAGGACGUGACUUUUCCUAUGCCAUCGGCUUCAUCAGGGGCCCUGUGACCAGAACGCAGCACUUCUUCUCCACCAUCUUAAGCCAGGUACCUCUUGACCAUGAUUCAUGAACCUCUGCAAUCUGUGUCCCAGACUUCCAGGAGCACUCGACUAGAAGACUCGUGAGAUCAAGAGAGGGCUUGGGGUGCGAGGGAGAGACCAGGAGACACUGGAGGCAGAUGAAGCUAGAGAAGGGGGUGAAAUUUUCCAGGGAGGACAUAAAAAAAGAAAAGAAAACUUGGACAUAGGCCCAGAAAAUGUCAGAGUUUAAAGGGAGAAAAAGAAUAAUAGGAGUCCAUAAAGGAAAUUAAGAAGAAAUCAUCAGAAAGUUAGGAAAAAGUAGGCUUCCCAGAAGUCAAGGUUAAAGAAAGCCUUAAAAAAAUUUUCUUCAACCAAAUUUAUAUUUCUGGUGAGAUUGUGGUCAUGACAUUUCUGGAUAAAUAAAUUGCGAAGACAGGGUGAUUAUUUUUUCUUG